GACGAACGCUGGCGGCGUGCUUAACACAUGCAAGUCGAACGGAAAGGCCCUGCUUUUGUGGGGUGCUCGAGUGGCGAACGGGUGAGUAACACGUGAGUAACCUGCCCUGGACUUUGGGAUAACUUCAGGAAACUGGGGCUAAUACCGGAUAGGAGCUCCUGCUGCAUGGUGGGGGUUGGAAAGUUUCGGCGGUUGGGGAUGGACUCGCGGCUUAUCAGCUUGUUGGUGGGGUAGUGGCUUACCAAGGCUUUGACGGGUAGCCGGCCUGAGAGGGUGACCGGCCACAUUGGGACUGCGAUACGGCCCAGACUCCUACGGGAGGCAGCAGUGGGGAAUAUUGCACAAUGGGCGGAAGCCUGAUGCAGCAACGCCGCGUGCGGGAUGACGGCCUUCGGGUUGUAAACCGCUUUCGCCUGUGACGAAGCGUGAGUGACGGUAAUGGGUAAAGAAGCACCGGCUAACUACGUG
rnacentral:rRNA from 1 species